GCGACAAUGAUGAUAACGUAAAACGUGUUGAAAACUGUGAUAUGUUAUUUAAUGAGCUUUUUAACACUGAAUCGCA
rfam:Cerapachys biroi unplaced genomic scaffold scaffold260, whole genome shotgun sequence.